rnacentral:rRNA from 1 species
UACGUAGGGCGCAAGCGUUUGUCCGGAAUUAUUGGGCGUAAAGAGCUCGUAGGCGGCCUGUUGCGUCCGCUGUGAAAUCCCGGGGCUCAACCCCGGGCCUGCAGUGGAUACGGGCUGGCUAGAGGCAGGCAGGGGAGAACGGAAUUCCUGGUGUAGCGGUGAAAUGCGCAGAUAUCAGGAGGAACACCGGUGGCGAAGGCGGUUCUCUGGGCCUGUACUGACGCUGAGGAGCGAAAGCGUGGGGAGCAAACAGG